rnacentral:rRNA from 1 species
CGAGCGGACAGAUGGGAGCUUGCUCCCUGAUGUUAGCGGCGGACGGGUGAGUAACACGUGGGUAACCUGCCUGUAAGACUGGGAUAACUCCGGGAAACCGGGGCUAAUACCGGAUGCUUGAUUGAACCGCAUGGUUCAAUUAUAAAAGGUGGCUUUUACCUACC